UACGUAGGGUGCAAGCGUUGUCCGGAAUUAUUGGGCGUAAAGAGCUCGUAGGCGGUCUGUCGCGUCGGCUGUGAAAACCCGGGGCUCAACUCCGGGUCUGCAGUCGAUACGGGGCAGACUUGAGUGUUGCAGGGGAGACUGGAAUUCCUGGUGUAGCGGUGAAAUGCGCAGAUAUCAGGAGGAACACCGGUGGCGAAGGCGGUUCUCUGGGCCUUACCUGACGCUGAGGAGCGAAAGCGUGGGGAGCGAACAGG
rnacentral:rRNA from 1 species